rnacentral:rRNA from 1 species
UACAGGGGGGGCGAGCAUUGUUCGGAAUUACUGGGCGUAAAGGGUUUGUAGGUGGCUUGCUCAGUCAGACGUGAAAUCCCCGAGCUUAACUUGGGAAUUGCAUUCGAUACUGGUUAGCUAGAGUGUGGGAGAGGAUGGUAGAAUUCCAGGUGUAGCGGUGAAAUGCGUAGAGAUCUGGAGGAAUACCGAUGGCGAAGGCAGCCAUCUGGCCUAACACUGACGCUGAGGUGCGAAAGCAUGGGGAGCAAACAGG